GACGAACGCUGGCGGCGUGCCUAAUACAUGCAAGUUGAGCGAUGGAGCUUUGUGCGUGCACUCUUUUGGAGAGCGGCUAACGGGUGAGUAACGCGUGGGGAAUCUGCCUUUGUUUGGGGGACAACAUCUGGAAACGAAUGCUAAUACCGCAUAACAACUUUAACCGUAAGUUUUAAGUUUGAAACAUGCAAUUGCAUCACUCAAAGACCAUCCCGCGUUUUAUUAGCUGGUUGGUGAGGUAAAGGCCCACCAAGGCGAAGAUACAUAGCCGACCUGGGAGGGUGAACGGCCAACUUGGGAAUGGAGAAAGGCCCAAGACCCUUACGGGAGGAGCAGGAGGGGAAUAUCGGACAAGGAGGGAAGGCUGACCGAGGAACGCCGGCGGGGGGAAGAAAGGUCUUGGAUCGGAAAACUCUGUUGGUAGGGAAGGAAGAGGGUGAGGGUGAAAAGCCCAUGAAGUGACGGUAACUAAACAAUAAGGAACGGCUAACUACGUG
rnacentral:rRNA from 1 species